rnacentral:rRNA from 1 species
UACGAAGGGGGCUAGCGUUGCUCGGAAUCACUGGGCGUAAAGGGUGCGUAGGCGGGUCUUUAAGUCAGGGGUGAAAUCCUGGAGCUCAACUCCAGAACUGCCUUUGAUACUGAAAAUCUUGAGUCCGGGAGAGGUGAGUGGAACUGCGAGUGUAGAGGUGAAAUGCGUAGAUAUCUGGAGGAACACCGGUGGCGAAGGCGGCAUCCUGGACCGGUAUUGACGCUGAUGCGCGAAAGCCAGGGGAGCAAACGGG